UACGUAGGGGGCUAGCGUUGUCCGGAAUCAUUGGGCGUAAAGAGCGUGUAGGCGGCCCGGUAAGUCCGCUGUGAAAGUCGGGGGCUCAACCCUCGAAUGCCGGUGGAUACUGUCGGGCUAGAGUGCGGAAGAGGCGAGUGGAAUUCCUGGUGUAGCGGUGAAAUGCGCAGAUAUCAGGAGGAACACCAAUUGCGGAGGCAGCUCGCUGGGACGUAACUGACGCUGAGACGCGAAAGCGUGGGGAGCGAACAGG
rnacentral:rRNA from 1 species